AGGUACUCUUGACUUGAUUAGAAAACUUUCUAAAUUUCUUUAUUUAUAAAAGAAAUGCCUGUCUUUACAAUGGUAAUUUACCAUAAUUUUGGUUGGGAUAUUGUUUAGUUAUGGCUUUUGCUUGAGAAUAUGACUUGUUUACUUAGUAGAUACAAUACAGAGUUUAAUUGUUUUGGCUAAGUUUUGUUUGGAUUCCUUUAAGUGAUCUAUAUUGGUUUAUUGGUUUCUAUUCUCUCUAAAAUAGCAGCAUUAAAAUUGUGUUUUGUUCAAGCUUACAUAUGACAGUCUUUCUCUUUGCAGAUAAACGUUUGCACUUGUUCCUCUGUAUCUGUG
rnacentral:misc_RNA from 1 species